rnacentral:miRNA from 1 species
UUACAGGCUCUUAAAGAAUGGUUCUCCUGGCCUGGAGGGAUGGCUCAGCCGUUAAAGGCUAGGCUCACAACCAAAAAUAUA